CCCAACUAUCCCUAUUAAUCAUUACGUCGAUCCUAGAAACCAACAAAAUAGAAUCAAACGUCCUAUUUCGUUAUUCCAUGCUAAUGUAUUCAAGCGUGAGCCUGCUUUAAACACUCUAAUUUUUUCAAAGUAACAGUCCUGAUUCCCCAUGACACCAAAUUAAUGACAUCAUGGUUCGUCAGAAGGUAGGAAUCAAUAAUACCAGUACGUACAAUAGCACGACCAAUAAAUUGAUCCCGAAAUUCAACUACGAGCUUUUUAACUGCAACAACUUUAAUAUACGCUAUUGGAGCUGGAAUUACCGCGGCUGCUGGCACCAGACUUGCCCUCCAA
rnacentral:misc_RNA from 2 species